UUUUUAGCAUAAGUAUGUCCCAUGCAAUAGCUGGGAUAUACUUAUACUAAAA
rnacentral:pre_miRNA from 1 species